rnacentral:rRNA from 1 species
UGCCAGUAGUCAUAUGCUUGUCUCAAAGAUUAAGCCAUGCAUGUCUAAGUAUAAGCAAUUUAUACAGUGAAACUGCGAAUGGCUCAUUAAAUCAGUUAUCGUUUAUUUGAUAGUUCCUUUACUACAUGGUAUAACUGUGGUAAUUCUAGAGCUAAUACAUGCUUAAAAUCUCGACCCUUUGGAAGAGAUGUAUUUAUUAGAUAAAAAAUCAAUGUCUUCGGACUCUUUGAUGAUUCAUAAUAACUUUUCGAAUCGCAUGGCCUUGUGCUGGCGAUGGUUCAUUCAAAUUUCUGCCCUAUCAACUUUCGAUGGUAGGAUAGUGGCCUACCAUGGUUUCAACGGGUAACGGGGAAUAAGGGUUCGAUUCCGGAGAGGGAGCCUGAGAAACGGCUACCACAUCCAAGGAAGGCAGCAGGCGCGCAAAUUACCCAAUCCUAAUUCAGGGAGGUAGUGACAAUAAAUAACGAUACAGGGCCCAUUCGGGUCUUGUAAUUGGAAUGAGUACAAUGUAAAUACCUUAACGAGGAACAAUUGGAGGGCAAGUCUGGUGCCAGCAGCCGCGGUAAUUCCAGCUCCAAUAGCGUAUAUUAACGUUGUUGCAU